rnacentral:rRNA from 1 species
GACGAACGCUGGCGGCGUGCCUAAUACAUGCAAGUAGAACGCACAGUUUAUACCGUAGCUUGCUACACCAUAGACUGUGAGUUGCGAACGGGUGAGUAACGCGUAGGUAACCUGCCUGGUAGCGGGGGAUAACUAUUGGAAACGAUAGCUAAUACCGCAUAAUAUUGAUUAUUGCAUGAUAAUUAAUUGAAAGGUGCAAUUGCACCACUACCAGAUGGACCUGCGUUGUAUUAGCUAGUAGGUGAGGUAACGGCUCACCUAGGCGACGAUACAUAGCCGACCUGGGAGGGUGGUCGGCCACACUGGGACUGAGACACGGCCCAGACUCCUACGGGAGGCAGCAGUAGGGAAUCUUCGGCAAUGGGCGAAAGUCUGACCGAGCAACGCCGCGUGAGUGAAGAAGGUUUUCGGAUCGUAAAGCUCUGUUGUAAGGGAAGAACGGGUGUGAGAGUGGAAAGUUCACACUGUGACGGUAUCUUACCAGAAAGGGACGGCUAACUACGUG